rnacentral:misc_RNA from 1 species
AAGGAUCAUUACCGAAGUACAGGCCCUUUUAUAGGGCUAAACUUCCACCCUUUGUUUACUAUUCUUUGUUGCUUUGGCGGGACGUCUUCGGACCACCGGCUCUCGGGCUGGUGAGCGCUCGCCAGAGGAAAAUCAAACCCAAACCUUUUUUAGUGUUGUCUGAGAAACAAGUUUAAUUAUUAAAACUUUCAACAACGGAUCUCUUGGCUCUG